UACGUAGGGGGCAAGCGUUGUCCGGAUUUAUUGGGCGUAAAGAGCGUGUAGGCGGUUUGGUAGGUCCGUUGUGAAAACUCGAGCUCAACCUCGAGACGCCGGCGGAAACCAUCAGACUAGAGUCCGGAAGAGGAGAGUGGAAUUCCUGGUGUAGCGGUGAAAUGCGCAGAUAUCAGGAAGAACACCCGUGGCUAAGGCGGCUCUCUAGUACGGUACUGACGCUGAGACGCGAAAGCGUGGGGGAGCGAACAGGG
rnacentral:rRNA from 1 species